GACAGAGGAUGCAAGCGUUAUCCGGAAUGAUUGGGCGUAAAGCGUCUGUAGGUGGCUUUUUAAGUCCGCCGUCAAAUCCCAGGGCUCAACCCUGGACAGGCGGUGGAAACUACCAAGCUGGAGUACGGUAGGGGAGAUUGGAAUUCCUGGUGUAGCGGUGGAAUGCGCAGAUAUCAGGAGGAACACCGAUGGCGAAGGCAGAUCUCUGGGCCGUAACUGACGCUGAGGAGCGAAAGCGUGGGGAGCGAACAGG
rnacentral:rRNA from 1 species